GACGAACGCUGGCGGCGUGCUUAACACAUGCAAGUCGAACGGUAAGGCCCUGCUUUUGUUGGGUGCUCGAGUGGCGAACGGGUGAGUAACACGUGAGUAGCCUGCCCUUGACUUUGGGAUAACUUCAGGAAACUGGGGCUAAUACCGGAUAGGAGCUCCUGCUGCAUGGUGGGGGUUGGAAAGUUUCGGCGGUUGGGGAUGGACUCGCGGCUUAUCAGCUUGUUGGUGGGGUAGUGGCUUACCAAGGCUUUGACGGGUAGCCGGCCGGGGAGGGUGACCGGCCACAUUGGGACUGAGAUACGGCCCAGACUCCGACGGGAGGAAGCAGUGGGGAAUAUUGCACAAUGGGCGGAAGCCUGAUGCAGCAACGCCGCGUGCGGGAUGACGGCCUUCGGGUUGUAAACCGCUUUCGCCUGUGACGAAGCGUGAGUGACGGUAAUGGGUAAAGAAGCACCGGCUAACUACGUG
rnacentral:rRNA from 1 species